UGAGUAAUCUGCCCUUCACUCUGGGAUAAGCUUCGGAAACGGGGUCUAAUACCGGAUAUGACGCACCCACGCAUGUGGUGUGUGUGGAAACUUUUGUGGGUGGGGGAUGUGCUCGCGGCCUAUCAGCUUGUUGGUGGGGUAAUGGCCUACCAAGGCUUCGACGGGUAGCCGGCCUGAGAGGGUGACCGGCCACACUGGGACUGAGACACGGCCCAGACUCCUACGGGA
rnacentral:rRNA from 1 species